AGUGAACGCUGGCGGUAGGCCUAACACAUGCAAGUCGAACGGCAGCACAGUAAGAGCUUGCUCUUACGGGUGGCGAGUGGCGGACGGGUGAGGAAUACAUCGGAAUCUACUUUUUCGUGGGGGAUAACGUAGGGAAACUUACGCUAAUACCGCAUACGACCUACGGGUGAAAGCAGGGGAUCUUCGGACCUUGCGCGAUUGAAUGAGCCGAUGUCGGAUUAGCUAGUUGGCGGGGUAAAGGCCCACCAAGGCGACGAUCCGUAGCUGGUCUGAGGGGAUGAUCAGCCACACUGGAACUGAGACACGGUCCAGACUCCUACGGGAGGCAGCAGUGGGGAAUAUUGGACAAUGGGCGCAAGCCUGAUCCAGCCACACCGCGUGGGUGAAGAAGGCCUUCGGGUUGUAAAGCCCUUUUGUUGGGAAAGAAAAGCAGCAGGUUAAUACCCCGCUGUUCUGACGGUACCCAAAGAAUAAGCACCGGCUAACUUCGU
rnacentral:rRNA from 1 species